rnacentral:other from 1 species
CAUUGUAAGGACACAAUCAUCAAUAGGAUGUUGAUGACUAAGGAAAGACAAUGGACCCCUCAUAGGAUUGAGGAUUAGGACCGCAUCAGGAAGAUGCCAGGGACACCGCUCAAGGAACAAGUGAUGUGCGCUAACGGGGAAUGUUAGCUUUCAGGAUGAUAAGGACACCGCUAGGACGGCGAUGCAAGGAUUAAGCUGACGGAUUCAGCCACUAUUACGGAUGAUGCAUGGAGCAUAAUGAGUAGCCGGACUGCUGCAAGUAAGACUAUAACCCCGAUACCAGCGUAUCGGGGUUUUUCUUAUUA